rnacentral:rRNA from 1 species
UACGGAAGGCAGCAGUGGGGAAUAUUGCACAAUGGGCGCAAGCCUGAUGCAGCCAUGCCGCGUGUAUGAAGAAGGCCUUCGGGUUGUAAAGUACUUUCAGUCGUGAGGAAGGUGUUAAGGUUAAUAACCUUAGCAAUUGACGUUAGCGACAGAAGAAGCACCGGCUAACUCCGUGCCAGCAGCCGCGGUAAUACGGAGGGUGCGAGCGUUAAUCGGAAUUACUGGGCGUAAAGGGCACGCAGGCGGUUAAUUAAGUUGGAUGUGAAAUCCCCGGGCUUAACCUGGGAAUGGCAUUCAAGACUGGUUAGCUAGAGUCUUGUAGAGGGGGUAGAAUUCCAUGUGUAGCGGUGAAAUGCGUAGAGAUGUGGAGGAAUACCGGUGGCGAAGGCGGCCCCUGGGACAAAGACUGACGCUCAUGUGCGAAAGCGUGGGGAGCGAAACAGGAUUAGAUACC